rnacentral:lncRNA from 1 species
UAUAUAUCUAUAUAUAUAUUGACAAAUAUAUGAACAUAUACAAUAUAUAUAUCGAAAGGAAAAUAUAAACAUAGAGGGGUUCAUGCAUCAUGGGGAAUGUUUUCAUGCUUCGUAGACGUUUCAAAUAUCUUCUUUUAUUUUAAGCGUACCUGAUUAGCAGAAAACAAAAAUAAGCCUUUGAAUUUGGUGGAAGAUAGCCUCCUCCUACGAUGCGUCAAUUCCUCAGCUUCGAGCAAGAGCGUGCUGAUAACAUGUUGUAGGCCUAUUUGAUUGAACGAUCUAGG